UGUAGGCGGUCAGGUAAGUGGAAUGUGAAAUGCCCCGGCUCACCCGGGGACCGGCAUCCCAAACUGCCUGGCUUGAGUAUGGGAGAGGAUGGAGGAAUUCCUGGUGUAGCGGUGAAAUGCGUAGAUAUCAGGAGGAACACUGGUGGCGAAGGCGUCCAUCUGGCCCAAUACUGACGCUGAGGCGCGAAAGCUAGGGGAGCAAACGG
rnacentral:rRNA from 1 species